rnacentral:rRNA from 1 species
UCAAAAUUAAGGGUAGUGGUGCAUGGCCGUUCUUAGUUCGUGGAAUGAUUUGUCUGGUUAAUUCCGAUAACGAACGUGACUCAAUCAAAUUAAAUAGAACGCUAUCAGCAGUCAGAUGUUUGAUACCGCCGGUUCGGGCAAUGGGCGCCUCGGUGUCCCGGCGCUCGGCCGGCGGUGUAGUGUGACCUGAUAAUACGUCAACCCAUCGUGGUUGACUUCUGCUUAAUAGGACAAUUUGUGUUCAGCAAAAUGAGAUUGAGCGAUAACAGGUCCGUGAUGCCCUUAGAUGUUCUGGGCUGCACGCGCGCUACAAUGUGCGCAGCAACGCGUAUCCUUGCCCGAAAGGGCCGGGAAAUCGCUCAAAUGCGCAUUUAGUCGGGAUUAUGGAUUGAAAUGGUCCAUAUGAACCUGGAAUUCCCAGUAAGUGCUGGUCAUUAGCUAGCGUUGAUUACGUCCCUGCCCUUUGUACACACCGCCCGUCGCUACUACCGAUGGAUUAUUUAGUGAGGUCUUUGAAAGGUGAACAUUUGCUAGUCCCUCGGGAUUACAUUUGAAUCGCUGAAGUUGACCGAACUUGA